rnacentral:rRNA from 1 species
GAUGAACGCUGGCGGCGUGCCUAAUACAUGCAAGUCGAGCGAACAGACGAGGAGCUUGCUCCUCUGACGUUAGCGGCGGACGGGUGAGUAACACGUGGAUAACCUACCUAUAAGACUGGGAUAACUUCGGGAAACCGGAGCUAAUACCGGAUAAUAUAUUGAACCGCAUGGUUCAAUAGUGAAAGACGGUUUUGCUGUCACUUAUAGAUGGAUCCGCGCCGCAUUAGCUAGUUGGUAAGGUAACGGCUUACCAAGGCAACGAUGCGUAGCCGACCUGAGAGGGUGAUCGGCCACACUGGAACGGAGACACGGUCCAGACUCCUACGGGAGGAAGCAGUAGGGAAUCUUCAGCAAUGGGCGAAAGCCUGACGGAGCAACGCCGCGUGAGUGAUGAAGGUCUUCGGAUCGUAAAACUCUGUUAUUAGGGAAGAACAAAUGUGUAAGUAACUAUGCACGUCUUGACGGUACCUAAUCAGAAAGCCACGGCUAACUACGUG